UACGUAGGGGGCGAGCGUUGUCCGGAUUUAUUGGGCGUAAAGAGCGUGUAGGCGGCCAGGUAGGUCCGUUGUGAAAACUCGAGGCUCAACCUCGAGACGUCGGCGGAAACCCUCUGGCUAGAGUCCGGAAGAGGAGAGUGGAAUUCCUGGUGUAGCGGUGAAAUGCGCAGAUAUCAGGAAGAACACCCGUGGCGAAGGCGGCUCUCUGGAACGCAACUGACGCUGAGACGUGAAAGCGUGGGGAGCAAACAGG
rnacentral:rRNA from 1 species